rnacentral:rRNA from 1 species
AGAGCGAACGCUGGCGGCAGGCCUAACACAUGCAAGUCGAGCGCCCCGCAAGGGGAGCGGCAGACGGGAGAGUAACACGUGGGAACGUACCCUUCAGUUCGGAACAACCCAGGGAAACUUGGGCUAAUACCGAAUACGUCCGUAAGGAGAAAGAUUUAUCGCUGAAGGAUCGGCCCGCGUCUGAUUAGCUUGUUGGUGAGGUAACGGCUCACCAAGGCGACGAUCAGUAGCUGGUCUGAGAGGAUGAUCAGCCUCACUGGGACUGAGACACGGCCCAGACUCCUACGGGAGGCAGCAGUGGGGAAUAUUGGACAAUGGGCGCAAGCCUGAUCCAGCCAUGCCGCGUGGGUGAUGAAGGCCCUAGGGUUGUAAAGCCCUUUCGGCGGGGAAGAGUAAUGACGGUACCCGCAGAAGAGCCCCGGCUAACUUCGUGCCAGCAGCCGC